rnacentral:rRNA from 1 species
AUUGAACGCUGGCGGCAUGCCUUACACAUGCAAGUCGAACGGCAGCACGGGUGCUUGCACCUGGUGGCGAGUGGCGAACGGGUGAGUAAUACAUCGGAACGUACCUUAUCGUGGGGGAUAACGCAGCGAAAGUUGCGCUAAUACCGCAUACGCCCUGAGGGGGAAAGCGGGGGACCGUAAGGCCUCGCGCGAUUAGAGCGGCCGAUGUCUGAUUAGCUUGUUGGUGAGGUAAAAGCCCACCAAGGCGACGAUCAGUAGCUGGUCUGAGAGGACGAUCAGCCACACUGGGACUGAGACACGGCCCAGACUCCUACGGGAGGCAGCAGUGGGGAAUUUUGGACAAUGGGGGCAACCCUGAUCCAGCAAUGCCGCGUGAGUGAAGAAGGCCUUCGGGUUGUAAAGCUCCUUUGUCAGGGAAGAAACACCGGCUCUAACACAGUCCGGGAAUGACGGUACCUGAAGAAUAAGCACCGGCUAACUACGUGCCAGCAGCCGCGGUAA